rnacentral:rRNA from 1 species
UAUAUGAAGGUGUAUAUAGUUUGGCCUGCUCACUGAUUAAAUUAAAGAGCCGCAGUAUUCUGACUGUGCGAAGGUAGCAUAAUAAAUUGUCUUUUAAAUGGAGGCUUGAAUGAAAGGUUGGACAAAGUAUCAUCUGUUUCUUAAAUAUUUAUUGAACUUGACUUUCAAGUGAAAAGGCUUGAAUAAAUUAAAAAGACGAUAAGACCCUAUAAAUCUUUACAAUAAAUAUAUUUUAUAUUUUAAUUUAUAAGUGUAAAAAAUAUUAAAUUUGUAGUUGUUUCGCUGGGGCGGCGUAGAUAUAUAAAUAAACUGUCUAUAUUUUAAAUACAGUAGUUGUUGAUUAAUAAUGUUGAUCCUUAAAAAGAUUAAAAGAUUAAGAUACUUUAGGGAUAACAGCGUUAUUUUUUCUGAGAGUUCUUAUCGAAGAAAAAGUUUGCGACCUCGAUGUUGAAUUAAAGUAUCUUUAUGGUGUAGUCGCUAUAAGAGAGAGUCUGUUCGACUUUUAAUACUUUACGUGAUCU